CUUCGGGGUUCCUGGGUGUCACGCAAAUCCCGGAUGAGCCCCCACAUGAAAGAACCCCCAUAGGGAGACCCCCCCCGCACUCAAGUCUUGGGAUGGCGCACACCCAAGGAAACACGAAAGACC
rnacentral:pre_miRNA from 7 species